AAGAACCACUAGGGGUGCUUAUGCUGAGAUUGAUGAGUGUCAAAACCCUAGACCUGAACCAGAUAAUGCUGGCGUAGGAAAGUGGAUGGCAUCGAAU
rfam:Veillonella sp. oral taxon 780 str. F0422 ctg1127947897839, whole genome shotgun sequence.